rnacentral:rRNA from 1 species
CCUACGGGAGGCAGCAGUAGGGAAUCUUUCACAAUGGGCGAAAGCCUGAUGGAGCAACGCCGCGUGCAGGAUGAAGGCCUUCGGGUUGUAAACUGCUUUUAUAAGCGAGAAAUAUGAUGGUAACUUAUGAAUAAGGAUCGGCUAACUACGUGCCAGCAGCCGCGGUCAUACGUAGGAUCCGAGCAUUAUCCGGAGUGACUGGGUGUAAAGAGUUGCGUAGGUGGCAUAAUAAGUAGCUAGUGAAAUCUGGUGGCUCAACCAUUCAGACUAUUAGCUAAACUGUUAAGCUCGAGACCGUUAGGGGUAACUGGAAGUUCUAGUGUAGGAGUGAAAUCCGUAGAUAUUAGAAGGAACACUAAUAGCGUAGGCAGGUUGCUGGGACGGUUCUGACACUAAGGCACGAAAGCGUAGGGAGCAAACGGGAUUAGAUACCCGAGUAGUC